rnacentral:rRNA from 1 species
AAUUGGAGGGCAAGUCUGGUGCCAGCAGCCGCGGUAAUUCCAGCUCCAAUAGCGUAUAUUAAAGUUGUUGCAGUUAAAAAGCUCGUAGUUGAAUUUCGGGAUUGACACAUCGGUCGUGCCUUAAGGGGUAUGAACUGGUGUAGUCAAUUUCUCACCUUCUGGAGAACCGCGAUGCCCUUAAUUGGGUGUCACGGGGAACCAGGACCUUUACUUUGAAAAAAUUAGAGUGUUUAAAGCAGGCAUUUUGCUUGAAUACAUUAGCAUGGAAUAAUAAAAUAGGACGGCAUGAUUCUAUUUUGUUGGUUCCUAGGAUCACCGUAAUGAUUAAUAGGGAUAGUUGGGGGCAUUAGUAUUCAAUUGUCAGAGGUGAAAUUCUUGGAUUUAUUGAAGACUAACUACUGCGAAAGCAUUUGCCAAGGAUGUUUUCAUUAAUCAAGAACGAAAGUUAGGGGAUCGAAGACGAUCAGAUACCGUCGUAGUCUUAACCAUAAACUAUGCCGACUAGGAAUCAGACGAUGUUAAUUUUUUAAUGACUCGUUUGGCACCUUACGGGAAACCAAAGUGU